GUCUAGAGCUGUACCACCCUGAACACACCCCAUCUUGUCUGAUUCAGAAGCUAAGCAGGAUCGGGCCUGGUUAGUACUUGGGUGGGAAAUGAUGAGGGCUGGAGCCAGUGGGUCUGGGAC
ensembl:rRNA 5S_rRNA 5S ribosomal RNA